rnacentral:rRNA from 1 species
CAGUAGCCGCGGUAAUACGUAGGGUGCGAGCGUUAAUCGGAAUUACUGGGCGUAAAGCGUGCGCAGGCGGUUAUGUAAGACAGUUGUGAAAUCCCCGGGCUCAACCUGGGAACUGCAUCUGUGACUGCAUAGCUAGAGUACGGUAGAGGGGGAUGGAAUUCCGCGUGUAGCAGUGAAAUGCGUAGAUAUGCGGAGGAACACCGAUGGCGAAGGCAAUCCCCUGGACCUGUACUGACGCUCAUGCACGAAAGCGUGGGGAGCAAACAGUAUUAGAUACCCGAGUAGUCCCUGUCUCUUAUAC